GAUUCUAACAUUCGUGGGCAUUUCUGAUUAGCUAUUAUUUUGGACGACUGCGCGUCCACGGGACUGGUACACCUUUAUAUUUACAUCAUGAGUGCAUCCGAAUAGGGAAUCUGAACGCAGCCGAGUAUAUAGAGUGUGUUUGCAUAUUGUGAAAUUUUAUAUUCUGAUCUUUAUAAGAGUGCCGAUAUUUAGGGCCAAUUGUUCCAAUCUCUUGGUAAGCUAUCUAACAAUUGCCCCUUAAGCCCGGCCGACCCGACUACGACUGCCGACUCUCAAUGGAUCUCAAUGGACUUCAAUUACAGUGAGGCGCUGACUCGGCGCCAUUGAAAGGCAGCAGUCGGGUCGGCCUAUGCCAUUGAAAGUCGGUAGUCUGAUACGGGUUUUAGGUAUUGUGAAUGUGGAGUGUCAUUGAUUAUUUCUGAAUAUUUUUUUAUCAAAACGAAACAAAAUAUUGGAAGCAACAAAGAUAAGAAGAAAAAGUAGAACUAGCAAAUAUCGGUAAAUGGACAUAUGAAGAGCUCAGAGAGAGAGAGAGAGAGGUUCUUUAAACAAUGGCAUUACCAACAUCAACCUCUAAUUUAGCAAAAUUGUCGUGGGAACCGCAUCGACUUUCACAUUCUAAGCCAUCUUUCGAUAGCCAUGAGAUAGCCCUCGCAAGUUGUAAGGACUUAUGGCACAAAUUCAUUAUCUUUGAUGGUGCUUUGCAUAGUCAGACCGAUGUCUUACACGCUGUGAUAACUGCUUGUGAACCAGAGAUCCUGAUACCGAUUAUGUAUACCAUUGAGGAUAAAAAUAAGAGCACAUUCCUAGCAAAAUGCAGUGGUACUACCAUUGAAAAUGUAGUAAAGCAAGGAUUAUGCAUAACAUUGUCAGGUGGUCAGGAGUUACGCAUGGAUAUUGUAUUGGGAUAUUUCAACGUACAUAAAUUACAAUUAAAUACAAAUCAAAUUAUUGUACAAGCCCUGCAAAACAGAUAUGAACCACUAAGAAAAAUAUUCAACCUCGACGACUUUGAGAAUGAGAAGGCAUUAGGUUCAAUAUUCUGUCCCAUUUCUAUACCAAAGAUAUUGCACUUUGUUCUGCUUUGUAGCAAAAUGGGAAUUAUGGGUAACAAUCGAGAGUCCAGGUUGCCCGUGCGCGAAUUAAGUCUGAAAAACAACAAAAUUACAGCUAUCAUACUGUUCGACAAGUUUUUUAGCUACCACUUGACCAAACUGGACUUGAGGCAUAACCAGAUUUUGGAUGUAGAAUACUUGCGUUAUUUCUGUGAAUUCAAGAUAAGCGAACUCUGGCUGGAUGGGAAUCCAUUGUGUGCGAAGUACAAGACCUCCCAGGAGUACAUAAACGCUGUGAAGAAUGUUUUCCCACACCUACAGAAGCUAGACGGGAUUGUCAUAGGAAUGGAAAAAAAAUUCGUACCUUGCGUACAAAGUAAUUACCUCGGUAACGGCUCGAAAAUCUCUUUGAUCAAACAGUUCGUCAGGCACUUUUUUACGUUGUACGAUCAAGACGACAGAAUAGUAAUGAAUGGUUUGUACGACAAGAACGCGGUUUAUUCCAUGACGUUAAGUAACACGACGAACCACACCUACAAGGAGAUCAUCAAAACGUUCUCCACGAAUAGAAAUUUAUUAAAAUUUGUCGACUAUGCCAAGUGUCAUGAAUUCUUGCUAUGUGGACCUGAAAAGAUAAUCACCGCACUCCAGCGGCAGCCUCCGACGUUACACAACUUUAAGACUUUUUAUAUAGACCUGUUGAACGAGAGUGACAAUCAUAUAGUCAUUUCAGUGCAAGGAUUAUUUUCAUAUCGAACGUUAAAUUGCUCGCCCAUGUUGUUCAAUCGAACUUUCAUCAUCAUACGAAAGGAGGACAAUGAAUAUUGUAUCACUAAUGAUCAAUAUUAUAUCGAUAGUACACCUGCAAGUAACAUUAGUGAUGUAAAAUUUGAAUUCAAAGCUCCUAAAUUUUCUCCGACGGUACUUAGUAUGUCUGAGAAGGAGCAACUACUGCGAUUUUUACGUGAACUCACUACAAUGAAUAUUCGAUAUUGCUACAAGUACCUUCAGGAAGCAGAAUGGGAUAUAAGAAACGCGAUCACUAUGUUCAUGCAGAACUAUGCAGUCAAUGAUGUAUCUCCGGAAGCUUUUCAAUAAAUUUAUAUUCAAUUCAAGUAAACCCAUGACUUGCGUAAAGAGAUUCAAAUGGUGGCCGGCUCGAAAUUGACCGAAGUCAAGAUAACAUCUUCCCAUCAAAGAAGACGCUAACAUUGGCAAUUGUCGUAGGACUAAUAUGGGAUGUACUGCAGCCAUCUUCCUAGCACAGAGUUCGAAUUCUUGAGAUUUGGAGUUCCAGGACUUCUGCCUGGGCGUUGCUGCCAAAGCUGUCAAUAAGGAAUGACUCAUGCAAUCCAGUACUGAGCCCACCCAGUCUGUUAUCUUUGCUCCAUUGACGAAUUUGUUCGUUUGAUAACGACGUUGCCGAGGUCGUCGGGUCUUCGUCAUCUACUGUGGAUGGACUUUGACAGUCUCGUGGCACCAAUAUCGGAAAUUCUGACUGGAGCGCAGACUUUGGUGGAUGUCUUGUGCCGAAACCAGUCGCUAUGUUGUCAACGAAACCUUUGCAUUCUUCAUGAUCGAUCCAAAUACGUUCCGCGGCAGCGUCCUCCACAUACAGCUGCAAAGAUAGAUUGACAUAAACAUCAUAGAAACAGAAUAACAUAAGAUAUUUGCAGCUAGUACUGGUACUAAUGGAUUUCCCUUGCUCUUAAAAUUAUAACUUUGAUCUCUCUUCAAUAAAGACGACAAAGCAUGUAAUAUACAAUCAUUUGAGAAAAUA